rnacentral:rRNA from 1 species
GACGUAGGGCGCGAGCGUUGUCCGGAUUUAUUGGGCGUAAAGAGCUCGUAGGCGGCUUGUCGCGUCGACUGUGAAAACCCGAGGCUCAACUUCGGGCUUGCAGUCGAUACGGGCAGGCUAGAGUUCGGUAGGGGAGACUGGAAUUCCUGGUGUAGCGGUGAAAUGCGCAGAUAUCAGGAGGAACACCGAUGGCGAAGGCAGGUCGCUGGGCCGAUACUGACGCUGAGGAGCGAAAGCGUGGGGAGCGAACAGG